CUCGUAGGUGGCCAACUAAGUCAGACGUGAAAUCCCUCGGCUUAACCGGGGAACUGCGUCUGAUACUGGAUGGCUUGAGUUCGGGAGAGGGAUGCGGAAUUCCAGGUGUAGCGGUGAAAUGCGUAGAUAUCUGGAGGAACACCGGUGGCGAAGGCGGCAUCCUGGACCGACACUGACGCUGAGGAGCGAAAGCCAGGGGAGCAAACG
rnacentral:rRNA from 1 species